rnacentral:rRNA from 1 species
UACGAAGGGGGCUAGCGUUGCUCGGAAUCACUGGGCGUAAAGCGCACGUAGGCGGAUUGCUAAGUCAGGGGUGAAAUCCUGGAGCUCAACUCCAGAACUGCCUUUGAUACUGGCGACCUUGAGUCCGGGAGAGGUGAGUGGAACUGCGAGUGUAGAGGUGAAAAUUCGUAGAUAUUCGCAAGAACACCAGUGGCGAAGGCGGCUCACUGGCCCGGUACUGACGCUGAGGUGCGAAA